GAUGAAGAACGCAGCGAAAUGCGAUAAGUAAUGUGAAUUGCAGAAUUCAGUGAAUCAUCGAAUCUUUGAACGCACAUUGCGCCCGCCAGUAUUCUGGCGGGCAUGCCUGUCUGAGCGUCAUUUCAACCCUUAAGCCUAGCUUAGUAUUGGGAAUCGACUUUACUGUCGUUCCUCAAAUUCAACGGCGGAUUUAUAGCAAUCUCUGAACGUAGUAAUUUUUUUUCUCGUUUUUGAAAUACUAUAAACCUCAGCCGCUAAACCCCCAAUUUCUUAUGGUUGACCUCGGAUCAGGUAGGAAUACCCGCUGAACUUAAGCAUAUCAAUAAGCGGAGGA
rnacentral:misc_RNA from 1 species